CAAGUGACCAAAAAUUCAACAUUUCCGAGGAAGGAAGUGAUAAAAAAUUCAACUCUUCUAAGGAAGGUAAGUGAAUCACACUCCCCUCAAAGGGUGGAAUAAAUUAAAAAGGGAAAAGACACAACGAGAAAGGGAGAUGAGAUGGUUUGUAGCCCUUGAAGAUGGUGGUGUAACUGUAUUCUUCUGCCCCCCCUUUAAUAUUUGAAUUUUAAGGAGGUUAAACUAGAAUAGUUGGGGAAUAAUUCACUGACCGUUGACCAAUGACUUAGAAUGUUUAAAAAGGAACCCCAAUGGGAUCCCUGUAUUUGAUGCCGUAGUGGUGGGCCAGUAGAAGAUCCCCACAUCGGGUGGCAUUGGUGAGGCACUUAACGAAUUCUCAUGGUUGCUCUCAUUCUCACACUAACACACCUCUCAAAAGGCCAUUCAUGAAGAAGGGAUGGGGAUUCAGCAAAAACCUGCUCCUGCAGAAAGAAGGAAGCUCAAUGAUCCGUUAGAAGCAUUCAGUUUGUUUGGCAAAGUCCUCAAAGAGGGGAAGAAGAGAGAAGACACUGAGCACUCCGUCCUAGGCAUUGAAAUGGCAAGGCGCCAUAUUUUGUGUAUAAUUCUGUGGUAAAAUCAGUAACAAUUAGCUUAUCAUUCCAUGUGCAUCUGUCCUGGAAAAAAAGAGGAAAACACCUAGAUGCCACAACACUUUCUUUCCCCAAACAACUGGCCCCAUGUUUCCUUUGUUUUUCAGAAAUCGAUGAAGGGUUCAUCAGUGCUGAGGAAGCAAGUGAGAAAAAUUCCCUUAACUCGGAGGAACCAUUGUGUCCAUCUGUCAGAUUUGUCAGCAUCAAAGCAGGUAAAUUGGGGGCGAGAGGCAAUGGGGAGAAGAGGGUCAAGCCUUGAGACAGAGAAUUCAAUGUCCAGUCCUUAUUUGGUGGACAAAUUUCUCCCCCCAAACUCACGGAGGCACUCUCAGCCUUGAAGGAAAAGAAGUUCAGAAGGAGGAGAGUGGUGCUGUGGCACAGGGCAAGGGUGCAUUUGUGGUACAGGUGGAGGGGUAGCCAAAUGGUACUAUGGAACAUCCAUUAAAAUCCUACGGACAGGAG
rnacentral:lncRNA from 11 species